CCUACGGGAGGCAGCAGUGGGGAAUCUUGCGCAAUGGGCGAAAGCCUGACGCAGCAACGCCGCGUGCGGGAAGAAGGCUUUCGGGCUGUAAACCGCUUUCAGCAGGAACGAAAAUGACGGUACCUGCAGAAGAAGGAGCGGCCAACUAUGUGCCAGCAGCCGCGGUGAUACAUAGGCUUCAAGCGUUGUCCGGAUUUAUUGGGCGUAAAGAGUUCGUAGGCGGUCAAGUAAGUCGGGUGUGAAAAUUCUGGGCUCAACCCAGAGACGCCACCCGAUACUGCUUAACUUGAGUUCGAUAGGGGAGUGGGGAAUUCCUAGUGUAGCGGUGAAAUGCGCAGAUAUUAGGAGGAACACCGGUGGCGAAGGUGCCACUCUGGAUCGAUACUGACGCUGAGGAACGAAAGCAUGGGUAGCAAACAGGAUUAGAUACCCUGGUAGUCCAUGCCGUAAACGGUGGGCACUAGGUGUGGGUUUCUAUUAACGAAAUCCGCGCCGUCGCUAACGCAUUAAGUGCCCCGCCUGGGGAGUACGGUCGCAAGCUAAAACUCAAAUGAAUUGACGG
rnacentral:rRNA from 1 species